rnacentral:rRNA from 1 species
CUCGUAGGCGGCCAACUAAGUCAGACGUGAAAUCCCUCGGCUUAACCGGGGAACUGCAUCUGAUACUGGAUGGCUUGAGGUUGGGAGAGGGAUGCGGAAUUCCAGGUGUAGCGGUGAAAUGCGUAGAUAUCUGGAGGAACACCGGUGGCGAAGGCGGCAUCCUGGACCAAUUCUGACGCUGAGUGAGCGAAAGCCAGGGGAGCAAACGGGAUUAGAUACCCCGGUAGUCCUGGCCCUAAACGAUGAAUGCUUGGUGUGGCGGGUAUCGAUCCCUGCCGUGCCGAAGCUAACGCAUUAAGCAUUCCGCCUGGGGAGUACGGUCGCAAGGCUGAA